CCAAAAAUUGGCAAAGGUGGCACCAGAGACACCCAAGGGUGGCACAGGGACCCCAAGGGUGGCACAGGGACACCCAAGGGUGGCACAGGCACCCCAAGGGUGGCACAGGGACACCCAAGGGUGGCACAGGGACACCCAGGGGUGGCACAGGGACCCCAAGGGUGGCACAGGGACACCCAAGGGUGGCACAGGGACCCCAAGGGUGGCAGAGGGACCCCAAGGGUGGCAGAGGGACCCCCAAGGGUGGCACAGGGACCCCAAAGGUGGCACAGGGACCCCAAGGGUGGCACAGGGACACCCAAGGGUGGCACAGGGACCCCAAGGGUGGCAGAGGGACCCCAAAGGUGGCACAGGCACCCAGGGGUGGCACAGGGACCCCAAAGGUGGCACAGGGACACCCAAAGGUGGCACAGGGACCCCAAGGGUGGCACAGGGACACCCAAGGGUGACACAGGCACCCAGGGGUGGCACAGGGACCCCAAAGGUGGCACAGGGACCCCAAGGGUGGCACAGGCACCCCAAGGGUGGCACAGGGACACCCAAAGGUGGCACAGGGACACCCAAGGGUGGCACAGGCACCCCAAGGGUGGCAGAGGGACCCCAAAGGUGGCACAGGGACCCCAAGGGUGGGACUGGGACCCCAAGGGUGGCACUGGGGACAUUGAGAAUGGCACCGGGACCCCUAAGGUGGCACAGAGAGCCCAAGGGUGGCACAGGGACACCCAAGGCUGCAACCGGGACCCCAAUGGUGGCACAGGGACCCCAAAGGCGGCACCAGAGACACCCAAGGGUGGGACAGGCACCCAGGGGUGGCACUGUCACCCAAGAGUGGCACAGGGACCCCAGGGGUGGCACUGGGACACCAGAGGUGGCACUGGGACCCCAAAGGUGGCACAGGCACCCCAGGGGUGGCACUGGGACACCCAAGGGUGGCACAAGGACACCCAAGGGAGGCACAGGCACCCAGGGGUGGCACUGGGACCCCAAAGGUGGCACAGGGACCCCAGGGGUGACACAGGGAUCCCAAAGGUGGCACAGGGACCCCAAGGGUGGCACUGGGGACAUCGAGAAUGGCACUGGGACCCCAAGGGUGACACAGGGACACCCAAAGGUGGCACAGGCACCCCAAGGGUGGCACAGGCACCCCAAAGGUGGCACAGGGACCCCAAGGGUGGCACUGGGGACAUCGAGAAUGGCACUGGGACCCCAAGGGUGACACAGGCACCCCAAGCGCGGCACAGGGACACCCAAAGGCGGCACAGGCACCCCAAGCGCGGCACAGAGAGCGGCACGAGCGUCACGGCGCAGUUUUAUUGCCCAGGUCCUGCGCCAACCUCCUGACCUCGGGGUUGGGGUACUCGGGGUUCUCGAUGGCGCCGGGCCCGAACUUGAACUCCAGGAAGGCGCGGGGGUCGUUGGGCGCCUUGGCCACGACGCCCACGAAGGGCACGGCGCCCAGGGGCACCAAGAAGCGCUCGGGGAACUCCACGUCCUGCCGGUGCCCCAGCCACGUGUCCUUGGUCAUGACGGCGGCGCCGGGGCGGACGUAGAACGGCCACAGGUCCACGUGGAGCCGGUUGGCGCGGCUGAAGUGCACGCGGUAAAAUUCCCCCUCGGCGGCUUUUUCCCACAGGAAGCCGUCGGGAUCCUCCAGCGGGCGUCCCGAGGCCGCCACGGCCGCCAGCCAGCGGCACUUGGGCACGUCGUCGCGGUAGAGCCCCACGUCCACGUCGUAAUCCCACGGCACGAUGUCGCCGUGCCGCACGGCGCCCAGCAGCGAGCCGCCCUCCAGCCAGUGGCGCACGCCCGCCGCCUCCAGCUGCGCCAGCACGUGGCGGGCGGUG
rnacentral:lncRNA from 1 species